CCCUUAGAUGUUCUGGGCCGCACGCGUGCUACACUGAGUGGAUCAGCGGGUCAGGUUGCGCGAAAGCGUUUCCUAAUCUUUAAAUCCGCUCGUGAUGGGGAUUGACGGUUGCAAUUUUCUGUCAUGAACGAGGAAUACCUUGUAAGCGGGGGUCAUCAUCCCGCGCUGAAUACGUCCCUGCCCUUUGUACACACCGCCCGUCGCUCCUACCGAUUGAGUGGUCCGGUGAGGCUUUGGGAUCUGAGCGGAAAGAGCGUUUCGCUGUUUCUGCUCGGAAAACUCAGUCGAACCUUAUCAUUUAGAGGAAGGAGAAGUCGUAACA
rnacentral:rRNA from 1 species